rnacentral:ncRNA from 1 species
ACUAUGACUCUCUUAAGGCAGCCAGAUGCCUCGUCAUCUAAUUAGUGACGUGCAUGAAUGAAUCAUUAACGAGAUUCCCCAUUGUCCCUAGCUACUAUAAUCUAGAGAAGCCACAUCCAAGGGAAUGGGAUUGGAAGAAUUAGUGGGGAAAAAAGACCAUGUUGAGCUUGACUCUAGUCCUAACCCAUUCAUAGUUUGGGAAAAUUAGGGCAUAUUUUGGGAAAAUUAGACCAUAACAUUUUUCUUUGGGAGUCAAAUUGAUGAUGGAAACAAGUGGGUGUGUGAGUAAAAUUUGAGUCCAGAAACCCUUCCAUAUCAUUAAGGCAUGUGAUAGUCUAUCUACAGUCAUGAUGGUAUAAAAAUGAAUGAGCUUCUCUUGGU